rnacentral:misc_RNA from 1 species
CGGGUUGCGGGUUCGAUCCCCGCUUAUUUCUGGGUGUCGAAAGAAGCGACUAAGGGAGAACACAGUUCCACUACCACCUUGGAACUUAAAAAGCCGACCGAUGGCAGGGUAACUAUUCAACAGCUGGCUUUGAAAUACACAGGCCGAAGAUGGACGGCAGCGUCUUCGGUGCGACAAAGCCAGCCCUGGUGACUAUGGGCAUCACACAUGAGUUCGCACCAAUAAUAGCGCGAACUUUUGGAAGCCUUGUCCAGCAGUGGACUGAAGGCAAGCGUUAUAAGGACAGGGUUAGGCUGAAGUAACCCAACGGGGCUCAUUCUUUUUAGCACAAAGUUAGUUUUAAUAGAAAAUUAUAUCAAGGUUAUUUACUUAUACU